rnacentral:tRNA from 1 species
GUUGUGGCUCAGUGGUAGAGCACUUGCCUGGCAUGUGUGAGGCACUGGGUUCAAACUUCAACACCACA